AAUUAAUAAAUACAGUGGACAAGGAUAUGUGAGUGGAUUUCAAGAUGGAGUCAAAGCUUCAAUGAAGAGAGGAGAAGAAAAAGGAGAGAAAUAUGCAUAUAAGAGAUACCACGAGUCAUCAAAAUAAGAAUAAAGAAAACAGAAAAA